CACCUUUCCAGACUCUUAAAAUGGAAAGACAAAUAAUGGUGGUGGAACGAGCGCGGCAGACGACUGAUGGGUCUGGCAUGGCUCUAACUAGACGCAAUCAAGCGAGGAGCUUGGAGUUUGCGGCUGGUUACGAGGAGAGAGAGAGAGGGAGAAUGGGAGGAAUGAAGACUAACAGCGUGUCGCUCGGAGGCUAACCAGAAGAAGUUACGAAGGUUACGUCUCCGAAGAUAUUUUCUGAUUCGCAGGAAUGAUUCCAAACUUUUG